rnacentral:misc_RNA from 1 species
UUGAACUUAGGGCACAAGAACAAGGACUUGCGGGUGAUAGACAACAAUAAACAACUUCUAGAAAAAAAUUCUCAUCAUCAAGUAUUGAUUCUUGUAUUGAAAUUCUUGGAAAGAUAAACGCACAAGUUCUUCUUAGAGGACCGAACAGUUCAAAUCCUUCUACUUCAUCUUCCUUGGUGCUACAGCAAACCCUAAUCCAACUUCUCAAACCAAUAACCAAAAAAAACCAGAAGCACCCAUAUCAACCACCAUAGGUUUACGUCAUCAAAACUCAAGCUCAUCGCCAACCAAAAAUAAUCCAGUUAUACCCACUUCAAUGCCAGAAAACCUAGCACCUGAAAACUCAAGUUCAACACUCGGGACCAGUUCAUCUACAUCCUCGGAAGCUCCCCAAACCCAGAACCCAAAUUAUCUCAAUUCCCAAAGCAAUCCAUUGUCAACGGAAACAGUGCAAGAAAAGCCUACAUCCAAUGAUAAGAAAAACCUUGGGAAGAGAUGGCCAAUAUACGAGGUAUUAGCAUUGAUAAACCUAAGCUGCAGUCUGUACAACAGUAAUGAAGACAAGGAAACAAUAGUAAAGGCUACUUUAUGGGAGAGAAUCUCACAAG